rnacentral:rRNA from 1 species
GACGAACGUUGGCGGCGCGCCUAACACAUGCAAGUCGAACGAGCGAGAGAGAGCUUGCUUUCUCGAGCGAGUGGCGAACGGGUGAGUAACGCGUGAGGAACCUACCUCAAAGAGGGGGACAACAGUUGGAAACGACUGCUAAUACCGCAUAAGCCCACAGCUCGGCAUCGAGCAGAGGGAAAAGGAGCAAUCCGCUUUGAGAUGGCCUCGCGUCCGAUUAGCUAGUUGGUGAGGUAAUGGCCCACCAAGGCAACGAUCGGUAGCCGGACUGAGAGGUUGAACGGCCACAUUGGGACUGAGACACGGCCCAGACUCCUACGGGAGGCAGCAGUGGGGAAUAUUGCACAAUGGGGGAAACCCUGAUGCAGCGACGCCGCGUGGAGGAAGAAGGUCUUCGGAUUGUAAACUCCUGUUGUUGAGGAAGAUAAUGACGGUACUCAACAAGGAAGUGACGGCUAACUACGUGCCAGCAGCCGCGGUAAAACGUAGGUCACAAGCGUUGUCCGGAAUUACUGGGUGUAAAGGGAGCGCAGGCGGGAAGACAAGUUGGAAGUGAAAUCUAUGGGCUCAACCCAUAAACUGCUUUCAAAACUGUUUUUCUUGAGUAGUGCAGAGGUAGGCGGAAUUCCCGGUGUAGCGGUGGAAUGCGUAGAUAUCGGGAGGAACACCAGUGGCGAAGGCGGCCUACUGGGCACCAACUGACGCUGAGGCUCGAAAGUGUGGGUAGCAAACAGGAUUAGAUACCCUGGUAGUCCACACCGUAAACGAUGAUUACUAGGUGUUGGAGGAUUGACCCCUUCAGUGCCGCAGUUAACACAAUAAGUAAUCCACCUGGGGAGUACGACCGCAAGGUUGAAACUCAAAGGAAUUGACGGGGGCCCGCACAAGCAGUGGAGUAUGUGGUUUAAUUCGACGCAACGCGAAGAACCUUACCAAGUCUUGACAUCCCUUGACGAACAUAGAAAUAUGUUUUCUCUUCGGAGCAAGGAGACAGGUGGUGCAUGGUUGUCGUCAGCUCGUGUCGUGAGAUGUUGGGUUAAGUCCCGCAACGAGCGCAACCCUUACUGUCAGUUACUACGCAAGAGGACUCUGGCAGGACUGCCGUUGACAAAACGGAGGAAGGUGGGGAUGACGUCAAAUCAUCAUGCCCUUUAUGACUUGGGCUACACACGUACUACAAUGGCGUUAAACAAAGAGAAGCAAGACCGCGAGGUGGAGCAAAACUCAGAAACAACGUCCCAGUUCGGACUGCAGGCUGCAACUCGCCUGCACGAAGUCGGAAUUGCUAGUAAUCGUGGAUCAGCAUGCCACGGUGAAUACGUUCCCGGGCCUU